rnacentral:rRNA from 1 species
CGGAAGAAUUAUUGCUAAGGAACUCGGCAAAUUGACCCCGUAACUUAGGGAGAAGGGGUGCCUACGAGAGUAGGCCGCAGUGAAUAGGCUCAAGCAACUGUUUAUCAAAAACACAGGUCUCUGCUAAAGCGUAAGCUGAUGUAUAGGGGCUGACGCCUGCCCGGUGCUGGAAGGUUAAGGGGAAUAGUUAGCGCAAGCGAAGCUAUGAACUUAAGCCCCAGUAAACGGCGGCCGUAACUAUAACGGUCCUAAGGUAGCGAAAUUCCUUGUCGGGUAAGUUCCGACCCGCACGAAUGGCGUAAUGAUUUGAGCACUGUCUCGGCAAUAAAUCCGGUGAAAUUGUAGUGCAAGUGAAGAUGCUUGCUACCCGCGGUUGGACGGAAAGACCCCGUAGAGCUUUACUGUAGCUUAGCAUUGAAUUUCGGUAUUGUCUGUACAGGAUAGGUGGGAGACUUAGAAGCGAGGGCGUCAGCUUUCGUGGAGUCGUCCUUGGGAUACCACCCUGACAGUACUGGAAUUCUAACUGGAGGCCAUGAAUCUGGUCACAGGACAUUGCUAGGUGGGCAGUUUGACUGGGGCGGUCGCCUCCUAAAAGGUAACGGAGGCGCCCAAAGGUUCCCUCAGCGCGGUCGGAAAUCGCGCGUAGAGUGCAAAGGCAGAAGGGAGCCUGACUGCGACACAUACAGGUGGAGCAGGGACGAAAGUCG